rnacentral:rRNA from 1 species
UACAGAGGGUGCGAGUGUUGUCCGGAAUCACUGGGCGUAAAGGGCGCGUAGGUGGCGGCCCAAGUCCAUGGUGAAAGCUCGAUGCUCAACAUCGAGUCGGCCACGGAUACUGGGUUGCUCGAGCACUGUAGGGGCAGAUGGAAUUCCGGGUGUAGCGGUGGAAUGCGUAGAGAUCCGGAAGAACACCGGUGGCGAAGGCGGUCUGCUGGGCAGUUGCUGACACUGAGGCGCGACAGCGUGGGGAGCAAACAGG